rnacentral:rRNA from 1 species
UACAGAGGUCUCAAGCGUUGUUCGGAAUCACUGGGCGUAAAGGGUGCGUAGGUGGCGUGGUAAGUCAGAUGUGAAAAGCCCGGGGCUCAACCUCGGAACUGCAUCCGAUACUACCAUGCUAGAGUACUGAAGAGGAAACUAGAAUUCUCGGUGUAGCAGUGAAAUGCGUAGAUAUCGAGAGGAAUACCAAAGGCGAAGGCAGGUUUCUUGGCAGUUACUGACACUGAGGCACGAAGGCCAGGGAGCGAACGGG